rnacentral:sRNA from 1 species
AUCAAACCACAUUCAAGUGACAGAGAUGGCUGAGUUUGAUCCCUGUGAAUGUAUUGAUGCAUUCCAACAUGAAAAUGUAAUGCGUCGACUCUUGAAUUUGUUGCGAGACUCCCAGAAUGUUUGCACUGACAAUGGC